CGCUUCUGUGUUCCCGACUCAGUCUGGCCUGUUUGUGUUUCUAGAGAGCGUGGAGGGGGAGCGGGGAGGUGGGCUUUGUGUUCACAGCGCACUGACACAAGCUUCACUCGAGGCCUUUGAUGUCGGAGCCCUUGCCCUCAUGCGCAUGCUGUUCAUGUUUGAGAAGGGGAAGUUCCAUGAUCUGAUUAACACUGAUGGCUCUUUAAAAGGGCUCAACUAUCUCUGACUUCUGAUCCUGGCGUUCUUGCCCCGUUGUGAAUUUCCUCUCGUGAGUCCAUCGCUGCGAGGGAGCGAGAGAGGGGAGAAUGAGGCGUUUGUUUGUGUGAGCUUGCGUUGCAUCUUGAGUUGACUAGAACACACUGUGGUUGCGAGUGUUCUGGAUGCCACUCUGUCUGGUGCUUUCCUCUCUGACUGUGAGUGUGAAGGUCAUGUCAUGUCCGUUCUCUCCGUCUUUCAUUCCCUCCUGCUCUCUCUCUCUCUCUCGCGUGCUUUCUCUCACUCUUCACUCCCUGUCUCUUUCUUUCUUUCUUUCUUUCUUUCUCUCUCUCUCUCUUUCUUUCUCUCACUCUUCAUCCCCCGUCUUUCCUUUAUAAUGAUGGUGUUAGAUUCAAUUUAAUUUGACCCUCAUAGCACAUUAAAAAUAAAGCAUUGAGCACUUAUAAGCAUGAUUUCAAAGGACUUCACAUUUGGGGCCAAACAGCCCCCCUCAAUCAAUACACAUUGAGAAGCUCCCUUUGAAAAAGAAAAAACUUUAGUUGGAAUGUGGUCAAAGGUGCCCCUAUUAACCAACACAGUCUGCACACUUAGUUCAAUUCCCUUUUAUUGACAUAGAACCAAUAACAAUUAAAAUUGUGUAAAGGUGGUUUACAGAGCAUAGAACCUGAAUCCCCAGGGGCAUUCAAUUAAAAUUCAAAGAGGUCUAGUUAGAGAAAAUGACCUCAAGUAAAAGUCUAGAACAUCCUAAUGUCUCACUUGCAUUAUGAUUCAGUGCAAUAUAUAUAUUGAAGUAGCCCAGUAGUUAGAUAGCAUCUAAUCUAGUCAACAGCUGACUGUCAAAUCAUACAAAAAAGUACUAUUCAAUUCAAUUAUAUUAUAUGUUUUUGUAAAAUACUGUAAUGAUAAAUGUUAUUUCAUUGUUGUUAACUCAAUGUCACAUCUUAACAGUCCCAGUACCCACAACUUUGGCAGAGAAAACAGCACAUUAAAAGGUCACAAGACAAGGUUAACAAGGUAUAAAAAGAUCUCAAUGAAGGACAACAUUCUUUGCUAGUUUUCUGAUUCUUGUAAUGAUCACUAUAACAUGCUUUCAAAGCUAUUAAAAGUAGAGUUCAAAGUUCUCACAGCACUGACUUGCAACUUUUUCCAUGGCUGCAGUUCAUGACAGGCCAAAAGCUCCUAUCCCCAACCCUGUUUACCAUUGCUCUUUUCAAAACACUUCUGAAUGAAUAACAUGAAUAACUGUAUGAUUGAACAGUAUGAGUAUGAAUAACACAAUGUUAUUGACUGAAUAUGUGAGACAAAAUUUCAAUCAAUUCGAUCAAUGCCCCCAGAAUAAAUAACAUAUUGUUUCUAUUUUUAGCACUCAUGCACAAUGCAGCAAUGCCUGAGUGAAUGACAACCUGGAACAAUAGUCAUUUUGCAUCAUAAACAGUGUCCAUUUUUUCCUAGCACUCACCUUAUUUUCUGUGGAAAAUUCUUUACAUUUGUAAAAAUCUUAACCCUAAAUAAAUAAAUAACCAGCCAAAGUGAAUUUAACACGGGGAAGCGGAUACUUCUAAGGCAACUGAACAGCUUUAACACCUAAUUUUCUCUUCAUUUCCCUCUAAUAUCCCACAGGGCUGUUCUCAUAUACAUGUGUAGGUGCUCAUUGGUGAGCCUGGAACAGUGUUUGGUUUUUUAUAAUGUUAAUUGUGGAGAAAGACGCCUAACGGCUGUAUGAGGAGCCGAACAUGGUCAAAAUGUCAACUCCUCUGAGGAAUUCCCUGAGCAUGCAAUGCUGAUGGGAAGAGGAUGCCUGAGAAAGUGAAUCAUUCUCAUCGUUAUGUUCAUCACCUCGGCAUACUUGUCUGACAGGGUGGGAGCACAGGGCCAAUUGAGAAUUAUGCAGUGGUAAGAGUGAUAAGGGAGCAGCUCCAUCUGGGGUUAUAGAAAUCACUUUUUCAUCUCUAUUCCCCACUUCAUUUAACAUCUGCUUCAUGGCCAUGUAGAUGUACUCUUGUACUGGUCUGAAGGGGUGUAACACCUAACAUGUCUUCACAAAACUUUCUUCUCCUAGUUGAAGAACCUUACAUAAACUAACAGCUCAGCAUGGUCAGAUACAUCAGUGGACUGGGCUAGCACAUCCUGGGUUUCAGUUUUCUUUGUAGUUGAUGAUGCUGACAUAAGUAUUUGUUUAUUCCUUUUUACAAAACUCUUCUUUUUGUUUUCCUUCAAGUGAGGUUUCAGCGUACUCAUGCUUGACACUCCCUCCGUCAGUACAUGUUAGGUAGUACAAGAGCGAUAGGAGGAGAGGAGGAGAAGAGAGAAUCAAAAGCAAGCAGAUGCACGCAUCAGGAUAAAACACAUUACCAUACAUACGGCAUAUGUCAUGAUGCAUACAAUAUUGAUAGUGGAUAUAAACGGAGAGAGCCAGCGUUUAGAGUAUUGGUUGGAGAACAGUUCAGUGGGUAUGCAGUGUGCUCAGAAGGUUACUCUCAUAAGGAUGAGCAGAUAUAGAAGAAUGGAUCAGAAGGAUGUUUGUUUAUGUUAGGAGUAAAUAGGCUGGCACACAAUAUGUAUAGAGCAGAGUAGAAAUUGUGCUUACAGCACUCAAUGUAUAUUUACAGAACAGAGUAUUGCCCAUAUGUAGGUAGUUACAGCACUAAAUGUAUAUUUACAGAACAGAGUAUUGCCCAUAUGUAGGUAGUUACAGCACUAAAUGUAUAUUUACAGAACAGAGUAUUGCCCAUAUGUAGGUAGUUACAGCACUAAAUGUAUAUUUACAGAACAGAGUAUUGCCCAUAUGUAGGUAGUUACAGCACUCAAUGUAUAUUUACAGAACAGAGUAUUGCCCAUAUGUAGGUCGUUACAGCACUAAAUGUAUAUUUACAGAACAGGAUAUUGCCCAUAUGUAGGUCGUGAAACAUUGGCAUGAUGUAGCUUAACAAACUCUGCCAUCAUCAGGGAUGAUCAGCACGUUUCCAUAGGGACCAGUAUAGGUCUGGGGUGUGGGCCAUGCUCUGGUAGCGGACUGCAUCGCUAUUAUUUUGGGACAGGAUUAGACCUGAGAAGAUAUAGUGAGCAAAAAUGCUUCAAAUAUUGGAGAGGGGAAUUUAGAUCUCUGAUCUUAAUGAACUUAAUGGUCAUACUCAUCAGUUUUGACCUUAAUGAAUGCGGAUGAAGAAUGUUGUUACUAGGCAAAAGAAAGCAAAAGGAACAUCCAAAUGAAACAUAAAGACAAAAUGUUUAAGAGUGCACAUCAAUAACGGAUACAAAUAUGAAUACAUACAAGUUUUAGAGCUUAAUCAUAGAGAGAAAUGUUUUUAACCUGCUUUACUAUGUAAGCAAUGGAGUAGUCAGUUUGUCAUUACAUUUCUUCUGCCAAUUCAGAUAUGGACAUGGAUAGACAAAUGGGUAAAUAGUCCUCAUGGGAUCGAAACUUCAGAGAUGAAGUACUAUAUCCGUUUUCAUGAGAGUCAUACUAAACAUCCCAGAGCUCUCAGGGGUGAAUUGACUGGGACAUAAUAAUGUAGGUCAUUCUGACCUUUAUGUCAAUAAAGUGUGUGUGUGUGUGUCUUAUGACAGCAUGUUGGGAUUGUGUGUGCGUGCGCGUACUGGCACAAUCAAGCACAUGUUGCUCACAUUCAUUGGUUUUGUAAUACAUUGAGGUGAAGGACAUAUUUCCCCUGGUGAGAAGUUGAUGGUUGUUGUGGUUAUUGGCUGUUGAGGAAAUUACAGAGAGAUGGGUUUGAUGUCUGUGCAGAUUUAAUCAUCUCACUAUGGAGGUUGGAGCAGGGCAGAGUGACGGGGAAAGAAAGAGAGCCUGAGACACAGUAGGUGUGUGUGCAGACCUCCAUACUUUGGUGCAGAUUGCUUCCCUCACACUCAUGAAUACAAAUGACUCGCUCAUGGCGUCAGGGGGGAUGUUGUAACCAGGGACGUCCUUGUGGUGUGCCCAGUUCAUCAUGGCAGGAACAUUAAGCCAGGAGUAGGAUGAUGAUUAUAAUUGCGAUCUCUACUCUGUGUGAGACAUUGAGGUUUAGUGGGGUGGGUGGGUGUGUGUGUGUGUGUGUGUGUGUGUGUGUGUGUGUGUGUGUGUGUGUGUGUUUGUGUUGACAGGUCAGUGCUUCUUGAGUAUGGUGCGAUACAAUCCUCUUAUGUAUCAACAUCUUGGCUUUGGAAAUUCAUAUUUUUCCCCUUAUUUUUUGAAAGGACUGGAAAUGGGGGGAAAUGAGUGAAUUCUCUCUCACACAUAUUUUCUCUUUCUCUCUCUCUUGUUAUUUUUCUUUCUUCCCCUGUCUGUCUCUCAUAUUUCAUUUCUGGCUCCAGGAGUGGAACAGUUGUAUAAUUCUGUGUACAGUAGCCCAACAUUCUCCAUUGUUUAGAACUUCAGAAUGCUCCCACACUUCUCUCUGGCCUUGUUAUGGUGGGUCUGAUUUCCUAACUGCGUGCUCACUGGAUAACUAUUGGGGAAGUUGGCUAGAAUGUUUUUUAAGUCUGAUGCUUGCUUUCCCCCUCUAGGUUCAGCAAACAGCCUCUUGGUACAAACACAGUGAUUUUCAUGAUUGUUGUCUUGGCCAACUCAAAUAUCCAAAAGCUUUGUUUGGUUUAUCAAGACUUCAGAAGUAAUGUUGGGUAUUCAGGUGUGAUACACCCAGAUUGUGCUUCUUCUGUUCAGUGGAGGGUAUUUUUUCAGGAGUUAAAAAAGAAACAGAAGGGGGAAUGGGUGACUGUAGAUGUUGUUGAUGUGAAUAACUGCUGCAAUUAGAUAGCUUGAUAGACUUCAUUUCAUAAUUUCAUGGUACAUUUGAGGUUCAUCGUCUCAUCUUCCAUGAGUGUCUGAGUUGACUAAUCCUGUUCAGGGGGCGAUGAAUCCUAAUUUUUUGUAGCUUUCCCACUGGGCAAAUUAAGAGAUGUGAGAUCAGUAUCAGAUAUAUACGUAGAUAAUACAUUAUUUUUCUUAUUUAUGUAUCUAUAUAUUAGUGCUGUCAGUUUAAUGCGUUAUUAACGGCGUUAACGCAAACCCAUUUUAACGCCGUUCAUUUUUUUAUCGCGA
ensembl:lncRNA